rnacentral:rRNA from 1 species
GUGCCAGCCGCCGCGGUAAUACGAAGGGGGCUAGCGUUGUUCGGAAUUACUGGGCGUAAAGCGCACGUAGGCGGAUUGUUAAGUGAGGGGUGAAAUCCCGGGGCUCAACCCCGGAACUGCCUCUCAUACUGGCAAUCUCGAGUCCGGAAGAGGUGAGUGGAAUUCCGAGUGUAGAGGUGAAAUUCGUAGAUAUUCGGAGGAACACCAGUGGCGAAGGCGGCUCACUGGUCCGGUACUGACGCUGAGGUGCGAAAGCGUGGGGAGCAAACAGGAUUAGAAACCCCGGUAGUCC